GGCCCUAGCGGAGGGCGAUCCCACGACCCGCCGCGCCGCGUGACUCACCUGUAGCACCUCGCGACGCCGCACCACCGCGAACGUAGCGCCGCGCCGAAAAAACGGGAAGACCAGUGGAGUGCAGAGUGACAGUGCAAGAAGACGAGAUUCGGCAGGGGGUACCGCAGCAACGAGUUUUCUGCGUCUGCUGCGUCAGGGGAACCCUUCGGAGGCCCUUGAGGGCCACUUGGGCCCAGAACCCAACCGACACCCCCCCAAGGGGGGGUCCUUUACAGGUCGCGAGGCUUCCACAAUAGGCCGCCGCUGUGGCGCUGCAGGCAUCGCCGUGCUCGGAUGGGCCCGCCCCCUCCAC